UCUCCCUCCUCCCCCUCCCCGCGAUGUCAUUACUCACUGGGUGCAGGGGGAGGGGCAAGGGGAUCCCGGGGCUCUUUCCUCCUCCUUUCAGCUGUAGGUCCUCCCCGAGGGCCCCAGGGAGGGAAAGAUGCGGGAAACAGGGGCGAGUGGGCCGUACCCCCAGAGUACUCAGCUGGCCAGUCAUCUGCCAAAGACCCUACCAUCAUAACACAUCUCAAUCUUGCGAAAGCGCCUCUUAGUUUAGAGGAAGAAAGGAAGACUCCGAGAAGUGACCUUGCUCAAGGUGACUGAGCUGCUAACUGGUGGAGCAGAGAUUCAAACUCGGGCUGGCUGUAUGAAGGACAGGACCAACUGGUGAUUUAGCAGCCCUGCAAGCAGCAACUCAAUCCUGUUAAAGAAUCAUGUUUUUCAGCUGUGUGGACGUGAUGAGAAGGGAGAGGUGCCAUUAGUGUCAUCCUAGAUCACACCUUUACCCCAGAAGAUGUAGCCAGGAAUUCCUCAGUGACCGAGAGAUCACCUUUCCUGGGGAGCUGCAGAGAUUUUACCAAACAAUGCUCUGAAAUGAUGUUGAAAGAAGCUGUGGAUGAACAGAUUUGUAAGACAUACUGUAACACAAUAAAAAAGGAAUCUUGUUU